rnacentral:rRNA from 1 species
GACGAACGCUGGCGGCGUGCUUAACACAUGCAAGUCGAACGAUGAAGCCGGAGCUUGCUCUGGUGAAUUAGUGGCGAACGGGUGAGUAACACGUGAGUAACCUGCCCUUGACUCUGGGAUAACUGCGGGCAACUGUAGCUAAUACUGGAUACGACCCUCGGAGGCAUCUCCUGGGGGCGGAUAUAAUUUCGGUCAAGGAUGGACUCGCGGCCUAUCAGCUAGUUGGUGAGGUAACAGCUUACCAAGGCGACGACGGGUGGCCGGCCUGAGAGGGUGACCGGCCACACUGGGACUGAGACACGGCCCAGACUCCUACGGGAGGCAGCAGUGGGGAAUAUUGCACAAUGGGCGCAAGCCUGAUGCAGCAACGCCGCGUGAGGGAUGACGGCCUUCGGGUUGUAAACCUCUUUUAGCGGGGAAGAAGCGAAAGUGACGGUACCUGCAGAAAAGGCACCGGCUAACUACGUGCCAGCCGCCGCGGUAA